rnacentral:rRNA from 1 species
ACUCAAAGGAAUAGACGGGGGCCCGCACAAGCGGUGGAGCAUGUUGUUUAAUACGUCACUAACCGUAGAACCUUACCAGGGUUUGACAUGGGGUGUCCUGCGGUGAAAGCCGCCUCUGGAGCAAUCCAGCACCCACACAGGUGUUGCAUGGCUGUCGUCAGCUCGUGUCGUGAGAUGUUGGGUUAAGUCCCGCAACGAGCGCAACCCUCAUCCCCUGUUGCCAGCGGGUGAAGCCGGGAACUCUGGGGAAACUGCCGGGGUAACUCGGAGGAAGGUGAGGAUGACGUCAAGUCAGCAUGGCCCUUACAUCCUGGGCUACAAACAUGCUACAAUGGACGGUAGACAGACCGUUCCGACUGCGCAAGCAGAAGGCAAUCGGCCAAAUCCGUUCUCAGUUCGGAUCGCAGGCUGCAACUCGCCUGCGUGAAGCCGGAAUCGCUAGUAACCGCAGAUCAGCUAAGCUGCGGUGAAUACGUUCCCGGGCCUUGUACACACCGCCCGU